GAAAUGCGAUAAGUAGUGUGAAUUGCAGAAUCCAGUGAAUCAUCGAAUCUUUGAACGCACAUUGCACCCUGUGGUAUUCCGCAGGGUAUGCCUGUUCGAGCGUCAUCUACACCCUCAAGCUCUGCUUGGUGUUGGGCGUUUGUCCCGCCUCCGCGCGAAAGGACUCGCCUCGAAAUCAUUGGCGGCCGGUCGGCAGGCUUCGAGCGCAGCACAGGCGAACUCGGCCCGGCCCGAUCCGAUCGGCGUCCAAGAAGCCCCCAUGUACCCAGUUUGACCUCGGAUCAGGCAAGGAUACCCGCUGAACUUAA
rnacentral:misc_RNA from 1 species